GAUGAACGCUGGCGGCGUGCCUAAUACAUGCAAGUCGUGCGAACGGACGAGAAGCUUGCUUCUCUGAUGUUAGCGGCGGACGGGUGAGUAACACGUGGAUAACCUACCUAUAAGACUGGGAUAACUUCGGGAAACCGGAGCUAAUACCGGAUAAUAUUUUGAACCGCAUGGUUCAAAGUGAAAGACGGUCUUGCUGUCACUUAUAGAUGGAUCCGCGCUGCAUUAGCUAGUUGGUAAGGUAACGGCUUACCAAGGCAACGAUGCAUAGCCGACCUGAGAGGGUGAUCGGCCACACUGGAACUGAGACACGGUCCAGACUCCUACGGGAGGCAGCAGUAGGGAAUCUUCCGCAAUGGGCGAAAGCCUGACGGAGCAACGCCGCGUGAGUGAUGAAGGUCUUCGGAUCGUAAAACUCUGUUAUUAGGGAAGAACAUAUGUGUAAGUAACUGUGCACAUCUUGACGGUACCUAAUCAGAAAGCCACGGCUAACUACGUG
rnacentral:rRNA from 1 species